rnacentral:rRNA from 1 species
UCUGGUUGAUCCUGCCAGUAGUUAUAUGCUUGUCUCAAAGAUUAAGCCAUGCAUGUCUAAGUACACACGAAUUAAAAGUGAAACUGCAAAAGGCUCAUUAUAUCAGUUAUGGUUCCUUAGAUCGUUAACAGUUACUUGGAUAACUGUGGUAAUUCUAGAGCUAAUACAUGCAAUUAAAACAUCAACCUUAUGGGACAUGUGCUUUUAUUAGGCUAAAACCAAGCGAUCGCAAGAUCGUUAUAUUGGUUGAACUCUAGAUAACAUGCAGAUCGUAUGGUCUUGUACCGACGACAGAACUUUCAAAUGUCUGCCCUAUCAACUUUUGAUGGUUGUAUCUAGGACUACCAUGGUUGCAACGGGUAACGGGCAAUCAGGGUUCGAUUCCGGAGAGGGAGCCUGAGAAACGGCUUCCACAUCUAAGGAAGCCAGCAGGCGCGUAAAUUACCCACUCCCAGCUCGGGGAGAUAGUGACGAAAAAUAACAAUACAGGACUCAUAGCCGAGGCCCUGUAAUUGGAAUGAGUACACUUUAAAUCCUUUAACAAGGACCAAUUGGAGGGCAAGUCUGGUGCCAGCAGCCGCGGUAAUACCAGCUCCAAUAGCGUAUAUUAAAGUUGUUGCGGUUAAAACGUUCGUAGUUUUAAAGCAGUUUGGGGGCAUUAGUAUUACGACGCGAGAGGUGAAAUUCUUGUACCGUCGUAAGACUAACUUAAGCAAAAACCGAAGAUGUUUUCAUUAAUCAAGAACGAAAGUUAGAGGUUCGAAGGCGAUCAGAUACCGCCCUAGUUCUAACCAUAAACGAUGCCAGCUAGCAAUUGGGUGUAGCUACUUUUCAGUCGCUUCCUGGGAAACCAAAGCUUUUGGGCUCCGGGGGAAGUAUGGUUGCAAAGCUGAAACUUAAAGGAAUUGACGGAAAGGCACCACCAGGAGUGGAGCCUGCGGCUUAAUUUGACUCAACACGGGAAAACUUACCAGGUCCGAACAUAAGUGUGUAAGACAGAUUGAUAGCUCUUUCUCGAAUCUAUGGAGUGAUUUGUCUGGUUAAUUCCGAUAACGAACGAGGCUCAAAUAUAUUAAAUAGAUAUCUUCAGGAUUAUGGUGCUGAAGCUUAUAUAGCCUUCAUUCAUGGUGGCAGUAAAAUGUUUAUUGUGUUUGAAUGUUUUUAUGUAAGAGGAGCCGUACCUGUUGAUUUGUCUCAUUAUAAGGACACUACAUUCUUAAAUGGACAAAUUGCGUCUAGCAAUAAUGAGAUUGAGCAAUAACAGUUUUGUGAUGCUCUUAGAUGUCCUGGGCUGCACACGCGCUACAAUAAAAAUCAACGUGUAUUUCCUAGACCGAGAGGUCCGGGUAAACCGCUGAACCGCUUUCAUGCUGAACUGAAACUGUUCACAUGAACUUGGAAUUCCCAGUAAGUGUGAGUCAUUAACUCGCAUUGAUUACGUCCCUGCCCUUUGUACACACCGCCCGUCGCUACUACCGAUUGAAUUAUUUAGUGAGGUCUCUGACGCCUUGCGUGUUACGGUUGUUUCGCAAAAGUUGACCGAACUUGAUUUUAGAGGAAGUAAAAGUCGUAACAAGGUUUCCGUAGGUGAACCUACGGAAG